GCGGGGGCGGGAGGCGGCCGUAGCGCCAUUUUGUGGGCACGAAGCGGUAGCUCGGCUGCUCUUGGAUCCUGUGCGACCUCCAUUUCUUCGUCGUGCUUCCUAGCAGAGGUCUAGCGGAGAACAAAGCCAAGAUGUCUGAAUAUAUUCGGGUAACAGAGGAUGAGAACGACGAGCCCAUUGAAAUACCAUCCGAGGACGAUGGCACUGUAUUACUGUCCACCGUCACUGCCCAGUUUCCAGGGGCGUGUGGCCUUCGAUACAGGAAUCCAGUAUCUCAGUGUAUGAGAGGGGUCCGACUGGUGGAAGGAAUUCUGCAUGCUCCUGAUGCUGGCUGGGGAAAUCUGGUAUAUGUUGUCAACUAUCCCAAAGAUAACAAAAGGAAAAUGGAUGAGACAGAUGCCUCCUCAGCAGUGAAAGUAAAAAGAGCAGUCCAAAAAACCUCUGAUUUAAUAGUGUUGGGUCUCCCAUGGAAAACAACUGAACAGGAUCUUAAAGACUACUUCAGUACUUUUGGAGAAGUUCUUAUGGUACAGGUUAAGAAAGAUCUUAAAACUGGUCAUUCGAAAGGGUUUGGCUUUGUUCGUUUUACGGAGUAUGAAACCCAAGUAAAAGUAAUGUCACAGCGACACAUGAUAGAUGGCCGAUGGUGUGACUGUAAACUUCCUAACUCUAAGCAAAGCCCAGAUGAGCCCUUGAGAAGCAGAAAGGUAUUUGUUGGGCGCUGUACAGAGGACAUGACUGCUGAUGAGCUUCGACAGUUCUUCUGUCAGUAUGGAGAAGUAGUAGAUGUCUUCAUUCCCAAACCAUUCAGGGCUUUUGCCUUUGUUACAUUUGCAGAUGAUCAGGUUGCCCAGUCUCUUUGUGGAGAAGACUUGAUCAUUAAAGGAAUCAGCGUGCAUAUAUCCAAUGCUGAACCUAAGCACAAUAGCAAUAGACAGUUAGAGAGAAGUGGAAGAUUUGGUGGUAAUCCAGGUGGCUUUGGGAAUCAGGGUGGGUUUGGUAACAGUAGAGGGGGUGGAGCUGGCUUGGGAAAUAAUCAGGGUGGUAAUAUGGGUGGAGGGAUGAACUUUGGCGCCUUUAGCAUUAAUCCAGCAAUGAUGGCUGCAGCCCAGGCAGCACUGCAGAGCAGUUGGGGCAUGAUGGGCAUGUUAGCCAGUCAGCAGAACCAGUCAGGCCCAUCAGGUAAUAACCAGAGCCAGGGGAACAUGCAGAGGGAGCCAAACCAGGCGUUUGGUUCUGGAAAUAACUCUUACAGUGGUUCUAAUUCUGGUGCCCCUCUUGGUUGGGGGUCAGCAUCAAAUGCAGGGUCAGGCAGUGGUUUUAAUGGAGGGUUUGGCUCAAGCAUGGAUUCUAAGUCCUCUGGCUGGGGAAUGUAGACAGUGGGUUAUGGUUGGGUGGUGUGGGUCAGUGGUCGGUUGGUUGGUAUAGAAUGGUGGGAAUUCAAAUUUUUCUAAACUCAUGGUAAGUAUAUUGUAAAAUACAUAUGUACUAAAAAUUUUCAAAAUUGGUUUGUUCUGUGUGGAGUAUAUUCAGCAGUAUUUUUGACAUUUUUCUUUAGAAAAAGAGGAAGAACUAAAGGAAUUUUAUAAGUUUUGUUACAUAAAGGGUUAAAAUACUGAGUGGCUGAAAGUGAACUGUUGUUUGCCUGAUUGGUAAACCAACACACUACAAUUGAUCUCAAAAGGUUUCUCCUGUAAUAUUCUGUCCUUGGACUUAAGUGAAUUCUUUGCAUGUUCAAAGUAGAAACCAUUGGUUAGAACUACAUUCUUUUUAUUUUAAUUUGAAUCCCACCGUAUGGAUUUUUCCUUAGGAAAAUCUCCUUUUGGGAGAUCAUGAUGUCACGAUGUUUGGUUCUUUUGGUUUUGUUUUAACACUUGUCUUCCUUCAUAUAUAAAAGUACAAUAUGAAGCCUUCAUUUAAUCUCUGCAGUUCAUCUCAUUUCAAAUGUUUAUGGAAGAAGCACUUCAUUGAAAGUAGUGCUGUAAAUAUUCUGCCAUAGGAAAACUGUCUACAUGCUUUCUCAUCCAAGAAUUCGUCAUCACGCUGCACAGGCUGCGUCUUUGACGCCCUGAAUGCAAAGAAUUCAUAGCAGUUAAUUCCCCUUUUUGACCCUUUUGAGAUGGAACUUUCAUAAAGUUUCUUGGCAGUAGUUUAUUUUGCUUCAAAUAAACUUAUUUGAAAAGUUGUCUCAAGUCAAA